rnacentral:rRNA from 1 species
UACGGGGGGGGCAAGCGUUGUUCGGAAUUACUGGGCGUAAAGGGCUCGUAGGCGGCCAACUAAGUCGGACGUGAAAUCCCCAGGCUCAACCUGGAAACUGCGUCCGAUACUGGAUGGCUUGAAUCCGGGAGAGGGAUGCAGAAUUCCAGGUGUAGCGGUGAAAUGCGUAGAUAUCUGGAGGAAUACCGGUGGCGAAGGCGGCAUCCUGGACCGGCAUUGACGCUGAGGAGCGAAAGCCAGGGGAGCAAACGGG